rnacentral:rRNA from 1 species
GAUGAACGCUGGCGGCGUGCCUAAUACAUGCAAGUCGAGCGAACAGACGAGGAGCUUGCUCCUCUGACGUUAGCGGCGGACGGGUGAGUAACACGUGGAUAACCUACCUAUAAGACUGGGAUAACUUCGGGAAACCGGAGCUAAUACCGGAUAAUAUAUUGAACCGCAUGGUUCAAUAGUGAAAGACGGUUUUGCUGUCACUUAUAGAUGGAUCCGCGCCGCAUUAGCUAGUUGGUAAGGUAACGGCUUACCAAGGCAACGAUGCGUAGCCGACCUGAGAGGGUGAUCGGCCACACUGGAACUGAGACACGGUCCAGACUCCUACGGGAGGCAGCAGUAGGGAAUCUUCCGCAAAGGGCGAAAGCCUGACGGAGCAACGCCGCGUGAGUGAUGAAGGUCUUCGGAUCGUAAAACUCUGUUAUUAGGGAAGAACAAAUGUGUAAGUAUCUAUGCACGUCUUGACGGUACCUAAUCAGAAAGCCACGGCUAACUACGUG